rnacentral:rRNA from 1 species
UMACAUGCAAGUCGAGCGGCAGCGCGGGGCAACCUGGCGGCGAGCGGCGAACGGGUGAGUAAUACAUCGGAACGUACCCUGUCGUGGGGGAUAACCAACCGAAAGGUUGGCUAAUACCGCAUACGACCUGAGGGUGAAAGCGGGGGACCGCAAGGCCUCGCGCGAUAGGAGCGGCCGAUGUCGGAUUAGCUAGUUGGUGGGGUAAAGGCCUACCAAGGCGACGAUCCGUAGCUGGUCUGAGAGGAUGAUCAGCCACACUGGGACUGAGACACGGCCCAGACUCCUACGGGAGGCAGCAGUGGGGAAUUUUGGACAAUGGGGGAAACCCUGAUCCAGCCAUUCCGCGUGAGUGAAGAAGGCCUUCGGGUUGUAAAGCUCUUUCGGCAGGAACGAAACGGCUGGGCUCUAACAUAGCCUGCUAAUGACGGUACCUGAAGAAGAAGCACCGGCUAACUACGUGCCAGCAGCCGCGGUAAUACGUAGGGUGCGAGCGUUAAUCGGAAUUACUGGGCGUAAAGCGUGCGCAGGCGGUUUUGUAAGACAGAUGUGAAAUCCCCGGGCUUAACCUGGGAACGGCGUUUGUGACUGCAAGACUGGAGUGCGGCAGAGGGGGGUGGAAUUCCACGUGUAGCAGUGAAAUGCGUAGAGAUGUGGAGGAACACCGAUGGCGAAGGCAGCCCCCUGGGUCGACACUGACGCUCAUGCACGAAAGCGUGGGGAGCAAACAGGAUUAGACACCCUGGUAGUCCACGCCCUAAACGAUGUCAACUAGGUGUUGGGUGGGUAAAACCAUUUAGUACCGGAGCUAACGCGUGAAGUUGACCGCCUGGGGAGUACGGCGCAAGUUAAACUCAAAGGAAUUGACGGGGACCCGCACAAGCGGUGGAUGAUGUGAUUAAUUCGAUGCAACGCGAAAACCU